rnacentral:lncRNA from 1 species
AGCCAUUGUUGACGGCUACACUUUCUUUAAGCUUUAUUCUAUUGUUUCUCUUAGGUUAGGAGAGCAGGUAGGAACUCCUUCAGAGUCCUCUUGGAACUUCUCUGAUUUUUAUAUUUAUUCUAUUGCAUCUCUAUUCAUCUAUGAUUUCUGUAACAAACUUCAUGUUUGAGUAAAUCCACCUGCUAGGUUUAGGAUUAAUUAGGGUUAUGAAGGAUUAGUUCAAAAUAUAGAAUUUCUAGGGUAAUAAUUGAAUCAUUCA